CAUAUCAUGUUGAAAUACCUGUUCUCCUACGAUCACCGAAGUUAAGUAACGACGAGCCUGGUUAGUACCUAGAUGGGUGACUAAUUGGAAAUACCGGACACU